rnacentral:tRNA from 1 species
UCCCUGAUGGUCCAGUAGUUAGACUCUGCACUUCCACUGCUGGGCACCUGGGCUCAAUUCCUGGUCGAGGAA